GGCGGCGUGCUUACACAUGCAGUCGAACGAAGCCUCGGGCUUAGUGGCGGACGGGUGAGUAACGCGUGAGAAUCUACCUUCGAGAUGGGGACAACCGUUGGAAACGACGGCUAAUCCCCAAUAAGCCGAAAGGUGAAAGGGUUUCCGCUCGCAGAGGAGCUCGCGUACGAUUAGUUAGUUGGUGGGGUAAGAGCCUACCAAGGCAGCGAUCGGUAGCUGGUCUGAGAGGAUGAGCAGCCACACUGGGACUGAGACACGGCCCAGACUCCUACGGGAGGCAGCAGUGGGGAAUUUUCCGCAAUGGGCGCAAGCCUGACGGAGCAACGCCGCGUGUGGGAAGAAGGCUCUUGGGCUGUCAACCACUUUUCUCAGGGAAGAAGUCCUGACGGUACCUGAGGAAUCAGCCUCGGCUAACUCCGUGCCAGCAGCCGCGGUAAUACGGAGGAGGCAGGCGUUAUCCGGAAUUAUUGGGCGUAAAGCGUCCGCAGGGGGCACUUCAAGUCUGCUGUCAAAGGUCGGAGCUUAACUCCGGUUCGGCAGUGGAAACUGGAGUGCUAGAGGGCGACAGGGGUAGAGGGAAUUCCCAGUGUAGCGGUGAAAUGCGUAGAGAUUGGGAAGAACACCGGUGGCGAAAGCGCUCUACUGGGUCGCACCUGACCCUCAGGGACGAAAGCUAAGGUAGCGAAAGGGAUUAGAUACCCCUGUAGUCUUAGCCGUAAACGAUGGAUACUACGCGUGGUUUGUAUCGACCCAAGCCGUGCCGAAGCUAACGCGUUAAGUAUCCCGCCUUGGGAGUACGCACGCA
rnacentral:rRNA from 1 species